UGUUUUUUUCUUCCUUUAGAAGUUUCCUCCCAUAAACUUCUUGGCCCCUUAUGCAAACAGACCUCCAAAUGGGCCCCUUUUUUGAUCUAG
rnacentral:sRNA from 1 species